rnacentral:tRNA from 1 species
GCUUAGAUGGUAAAGCGUCUGCCUACAAUGCGGGAGACCCGGGUUCAAUCCCUGG